AUUGAACGCUGGCGGCAUGCCUUACACAUGCCAGUCGAACGGUAACAGGUCUUCGGAUGCUGACGAGUGGCGGACGGUGGCGUAAUACAGCGGAACGUGCCCGAUCCUGGGGGUUAACGAGGCGAAAGGUUGGCUAAUACCGCAUACGAUCUAAGACGGAAAACGGGGGAUCUCCGGAGAUCGCGCGGCCGUGCCGGCCGAUGGCAGAUUAGGUAGUUGGAGGGAUAAAAGCUUACCAAGCCGACGAUCUGUAGCUGGUCUGAGAGGAUGAUCAGCCACACUGGAACUGAGACACGGCCCAGACUCCUACGGGAGGCAGCAGUGGGGAAUUUUGGACAAUGGGCGAAAGCCUGAUCCAGCCAUGCCGCGUGCAGGAUGAAGGCCUUCGGGUUGUAAACUGCUUUUGUACGGAACGAAGAGCCUCUUUCUAAUAAAGAGAGGUCAUGACGGUACCGUAAGAAUAAGCACCGGCUAACUACGUG
rnacentral:rRNA from 1 species